GAGUUUGAUCCUGGCUCAGAUUGAACGCUGGCGGCAGGCCUAACACAUGCAAGUCGAGCGGUAGAGAGAAGCUUGCUUCUCUUGAGAGCGGCGGACGGGUGAGUAAUGCCUAGGAAUCUGCCUGGUAGUGGGGGAUGACGUUCGGAAACGGACGCUAAUACCGCAUACGUCCUACGGGAGAAAGCAGGGGACCUUCGGGCCUUGCGCUAUCAGAUGAGCCUAGGUCGGAUUAGCUAGUUGGUGGGGUAAUGGCUCACCAAGGCGACGAUCCGUAACUGGUCUGAGAGGAUGAUCAGUCACACUGGAACUGAGACACGGUCCAGACUCCUACGGGAGGCAGCAGUGGGGAAUAUUGGACAAUGGGCGAAAGCCUGAUCCAGCCAUGCCGCGUGUGUGAAGAAGGUCUUCGGAUUGUAAAGCACUUUAAGUUGGGAGGAAGGGCAGUAAGUUAAUACCUUGCUGUUUUGACGUUACCGACAGAAUAAGCACCGGCUAACUCUGUGCCAGCCGCCG
rnacentral:rRNA from 1 species